rnacentral:misc_RNA from 1 species
UGGCUGACAUACUGACUCAAAAGAAAAAUAUAUAACAAAGUGAUGAGUAAAUUAAGUUGAUAAUAAAUAGCUUUAUGCUCAGAUAUAUAACGUGGCAGAAAUCUAGGUGCACAUAUGUAUGCGUGCUUAUAUUCAUCCAACAUAAUCACCUGCAAUGCAUACAACAUGUGUCUAUGACAUGAACACUUUUGGAACAAGCUUUCACAAGCACUUGAAAGAAUAAUUGCUACAUAGUCUAUGGGUUCAUGAAUAAGCAAUAAGGAAUAAGAAUUUUCUAUAUGUAGAAUAAGGGUAAGACUAUCUUUGCUAGCAGUUAAUCAAUGUUGUCAAGCAACUGUGAUUAUAUUCCAUAACUUAUUAUUCGGUUUGGUUGCACAAAGAUUAUCUACUGUAAUGUAAUGCCAUUCAAAUUAUGCCAUUAGUACUGUUUCAAUCAAAUUAAUAUUACAUAUAAUAAUGUAAUCAUGAUUACUUUAUUUACUUUGUUAAUAAUUUUUACUUCCAAUACCACAUUUAUCCCUGUUGUUGCCACUGCCACUGCCACCGGCCUGGCAGCCCCUAAACUGCUGGCAUCACCACCAACAAAUAAACUAUUGAAUAUAGGAAAAAAAGUUGUAACUGCAAAAAAACAUAGGAUUAGAAUCACCAAUACAUUAGAUUCUCAUUCCAUUAGUUUUUUGUUAUAGCACCUAAUUCUCUAUACAUGGUAGUGGUACAAUGUUGUUUUGCUUAGAGUCAUACAAAAAUCCCUAAAUCUCUCUGUUUUGCAUUGUCCCCUUUCCAGGCUCUCUGGUUCUCUCCAUCUCUUGCAGUCGCAGUCUCCUUCCUCAUCCUUCACCUUCAGUUCUUCUCUCAUUUUCCUUUUCUUCUCACCCUGCAAUCAUAGUCAUAGAGCCUCUCAAGUCACAGCCCACUCUCAUCUUUGCCCAUGAAGUAUAGUGACUGAGGCAAACUUCGAAUGAGUAAAGGUAGAGUAGCCGUAACCAUUUUCCUCCUCGCUUUAUGCAGUCAUGCUUCUCACGAUCUCACCUUCUCCAAUAAUCUGUUGCUGCCACGAUCGAAGCUAGCAUUCUGCCUCCCCUUCCCUGUCCUUCUAACCUCAAGCUCUCACCUUUCAUUGUCAAUGUGCCUUCAGUUUGAUUCCUCCACUAUUUUGGGUAUUAUUCUAGUAAUGUUUUGGGUUAUUGUGUUGAUUGCUGAACUAGGAAUUGUUGUGUAAUCUGUAAUGGGUGUUGAUUUGGCUUAAUAUGCAUUUUUUUUUUCCAGUUUGAUGUAAUUAAUUGAAAAUUCUAGCAUCUGAAUAUUGAUUUCUUUUUUGUUUACGGAGAAUUAUUGGGUAUUUGAUUGAAA